rnacentral:rRNA from 1 species
AUGAUCGACACUUUAUCCCACGAAGCUUUUAUCAGGCUGGCAGUUACUUUGUGGGCAAUAUGGUGGGCUCGAAGAAAAGCAAUACACAAACAAAUCUACCAGAGUCCCUCAGCAACCCAUGAGUUUAUUCAAAGAUUCUUGGCAGAUUUGGAGCUUCUUCCGAGGAGUCCCGUCAAGAACAACCCUGUGACGAGGUCUGGUGUACAUCGCCCUAAGGCCCCGCCUGCGGGGCAUGCUAAAAUCCACGUGGACGCGGCAGUUUCCAAGACCCGCAACUGUGGUGCCGCGGCGGCGGUGUGCAGGAGUAACGAUGGAAACUUCAUGGGCAGUUCAGCAUUGGUGAUACAUGGGAUAACUGAUGUAGCAACACUAGAAGCUAUUGCAUGCAGGGAAGGUUUUGCUCUGGCGCAAGAUUUACUAUUGACUGAUUUUGUUAUAGCAUCGGACUCCAAGCAAGUAGUUAAUGAUAUUAAGACAGCAAGCAAUGGAACUUACGGAGCAAUCAUCUCGGAGAUUAGGAAUCUUUCAGUAGGUUUCAAUUGUAAUAUUAAUUUCGAAGGCAGAGCGUCUAAUAGCGAUGCCGAUAGGUUAGCCAAGUUUACACACUCGUUGGAUCGGGGUAGGCAUUUGUGGUUUCUGGAACCCCAUGAUCCAAUUUGUAUCUCACUAAAUGUGGUUUUUGAGCAAUAA